UUAGAGUGUGCUAGCUUGCUAGAAUUUAGUAUACAGGUGCUGCACGGCUGUCGUCAGCUCGUGUCGUGAGAUGUUGGGUUAAGUACCCGCAACGAGCGCAACCUCCGUGUUAGUUGCUAACAGUUCGGCUGAGAACUCUAAACAGACUGCCUACGCAAGUAGGAGGAAGGUGAGGACGACGUCAAGUCAUCAUGGCCCUUACGGCCAGGGCUACACACGUGCUACAAUGGGGUAUACAAAGAGCAGCGAUACGGUGACGUGGAGCAAAUCUAGAAAAUGCCUCUCAGUUCGGAUUGUAGUCUGCAACUCGACUACAUGAAGUUGGAAUCGCUAGUAAUCGUAGAUCAGCAAUGCUACGGUGAAUACGUUCCCGGGUCUU
rnacentral:rRNA from 1 species